UACGGAGGGGGCAAGCGUUGUCCGGAAUCAUUGGGCGUAAAGAGCGCGUAGGCGGCUCGAUAAGUCUGCUGUGAAAGUCCAGGGCUCAACCCUGGAAGGCCGGUGGAAACUGUCGGGCUAGAGUCCGGAAGAGGCGAGUGGAAUUCCCGGUGUAGCGGUGAAAUGCGCAGAUAUCGGGAGGAACACCAAUUGCGAAGGCAGCUCGCUGGGACGGUACUGACGCUGAGACGCGAAAGCGUGGGGAGCAAACAGG
rnacentral:rRNA from 1 species